rnacentral:rRNA from 1 species
GAUCAUGGCUCAGGAUGAACGCUGACAGAAUGCUUAACACAUGCAAGUCUACUUGAACUUCGGUUUGGGUGGCGGACGGGUGAGUAACGCGUAAAGAACUUGCCUCACAGUUAGGGACAACAUUUGGAAACGAAUGCUAAUACCUGAUAUUAUGAUUUUAGGGCAUCCUAAGAUUAUGAAAGCUAUAUGCGCUGUGAGGGAGCUUUGCGUCCCAUUAGCUAGUUGGAGAGGUAACGG